rnacentral:rRNA from 1 species
UAAAUACUAAUACCAGAUCGAUAGUGCACAAGUACCGUGAGGGAAAGGUGAAAAGAACUGAGGUGAUCAGAGUGAAAUAGAACCUGAAACCAUUUGCUUACAAUCAUUCAGAGCCCUAUGUAGCAAUACAGGGUGAUGGACUGCCUUUUGCAUAAUGAGCCUGCGAGUUGUGGUGUCUGGCAAGGUUAAGCAAACGCGAAGCCGUAGCGAAAGCGAGUCUGAAUAGGGCGCUUAGUCAGAUGCUGCAGACCCGAAACGAAGUGAUCUAUCCAUGAGCAAGUUGAAGCUAGUGUAAGAACUAGUGGAGGACUGAACCCAUAGGCGUUGAAAAGCCCCGGGAUGACUUGUGGAUAGGGGUGAAAGGCCAAUCAAACUUCGUGAUAGCUGGUUCUCUCCGAAAUAUAUUUAGGUAUAGCGUUGUGUCGUAAUAUAAGGGGGUAGAGCACUGAAUGGGCUAGGGCAUACACCAAUGUACCAAACCCUAUCAAACUCCGAAUACCUUAUAUGUAAUCACAGCAGUCAGGCGGCGAGUGAUAAAAUCCGUCGUCAAGAGGGAAACAACCCAGACUACCAGCUAAGGUCCCUAAAUCUUACUUAAGUGGAAAACGAUGUGAAGUUACUUAAACAACCAGGAGGUUGGCUUAGAAGCAGCCAUCCUUUAAAGAAAGCGUAAUAGCUCACUGGUCUAGUGAUUUUGCGCGGAAAAUAUAACGGGGCUAAAGUAAGUACCGAAGCUGUAGACUUAGUUUACUAAGUGGUAGGAGAGCGUUCUAUUUGCGUCGAAGGUAUACCGGUAAGGAGUGCUGGAGCGAAUAGAAGUGAGCAUGCAGGCAUGAGUAGCGAUAAUUAAUGUGAGAAUCAUUAACGCCGUAAACCCAAGGUUUCCUACGCGAUGCUCGUCAUCGUAGGGUUAGUCGGGUCCUAAGUCGAGUCCGAAAGGGGUAGACGAUGGCAAAUUGGUUAAUAUUCCAAUACCAACAUUAGUGUGCGAUGGAAGGACGCUUAGGGCUAAGGGGGCUAGCGGAUGGAAGUGCUAGUCUAAGGUCGUAGGAGGUUAUACAGGCAAAUCCGUAUAACAAUACUCCGAGAACUGAAAGGCUUUUUGAAGUCUUCGGAUGGAUAGAAGAACCCCUGAUGCCGUCGAGCCAAGAAAAGUUUCUAAGUUUAGCUAAUGUUGCCCGUACCGUAAACCGACACAGGUGGGUGGGAUGAGUAUUCUAAGGCGCGUGGAAGAACUCUCUUUAAGGAACUCUGCAAAAUAGCACCGUAUCUUCGGUAUAAGGUGUGGUUAGCUUUGUAUUAGGAUUUACUCCGAAAGCAAGGAAACUUACAACAAAGAGUCCCUCCCGACUGUUUACCAAAAACACAGCACUCUGCUAACUCGUAAGAGGAUGUAUAGGGUGUGACGCCUGCCCGGUGCUCGAAGGUUAAUUGAUGGGGUUAGCAUUAGCGAAGCUCUUGAUCGAAGCCCGAGUAAACGGCGGCCGUAACUAUAACGGUCCUAAGGUAGCGAAAUUCCUUGUCGGUUAAAUACCGACCUGCAUGAAUGGCGUAACGAGAUGGGAGCUGUCUCAAAGAGGGAUCCAGUGAAAUUGUAGUGGAGGUGAAAAUUCCUCCUACCCGCGGCAAGACGGAGAGACCCCGUGGACCUUUACUAUAGCUUGACACUGCUAUUUGGAUAAAGAUGUGCAGGAUAGGUGGGAGGCUUUGAGUAUAUGACGCCAGUUGUAUAUGAGCCAUUGUUGAGAUACCACUCUUUCUUAUUUGGGUAGCUAACCAGCUUGAGUUAUCCUCAAGUGGGACAAUGUCUGGUGGGUAGUUUGACUGGGGCGGUCGCCUCCCAAAUAAUAACGGAGGCUUACAAAGGUUGGCUCAGAACGGUUGGAAAUCGUUCGUAGAGUAUAAA